GAGGAGAAAAGUCCUGCUGCGGCUUCUAAGUAAGGAAAUGCUUAGGAAAACAAUACUUUGUUUCUAACUGUCGCCCCAACCUAAAAAGGGCUAAUCCAGAAUGAAGAAUGAGGCUUUUGCACAAGCUCUGAUCUCCAAAUAUCUCACAUUAGGCUCUUCUGGACACUAGAGGGACAUGAAGUCAAGGAAGGGAAUGAAAUACCCUAGAAUCUCCGGCCCAGAGGCCCAGAAGGAAUUUUAUACAAGAGCCUUCCAGUGGUCUGUUCAGAACUACAAAGUGAGUGGCUUUCCGUCCAUUCCAG